AGCUGUAUAGCUCAGUCGGUAGAGCAUGUGACUCAUAAUCUCAGGGUUGUGGGUUCAAGUCCCACUUUGGGCA